rnacentral:lncRNA from 1 species
AGAGGUAGGAAGGCUAAACUGAGGAAUUAUGUCUGACAGAAGGGAAGAAGAAGGUAAUGUGGAGUGGGUAGCCUCCAUACUGAUUAAGAAGGGUACAGACUUACCCUCCACUGUGAGAAUUACCUAAAGCUCGGUGUCUGUGAUGGUCUACAGGGCUUCCGAGGCGAUCAGGCAGUGGCAGUCUUCAGCUGCAAAGCCGAGAAGAUCUGGGAAGGAGUCAGUCAGGGAGCCUUGGGCCAGAGUUCCAGGGGCUCUAGGAGUGGCUGCCAGGUGAGUUGAACAGUCCGAUUUCUAGUGGGGUCCUGCACAGAUGGGACACGGCUUAGGAGGAAUCCUGGGCUGCGGGCAUUCCUUGGCCUGGUGGCCAGAUUUCUGGCACUUGUAGCAAGCUCCUGGGGGAGGUGGUUCCGGAGGAACGCCUGGCCACUGCGGUUUAGGCAUUUGGAAGUUCUUGUGUGCUGGAGAUGUGGCUGGGGUUUGUCUCACAGUGGAGGCAAGGAAUUGCAACUCAAAAAUAUGUUG